CUGAAGUCCACAGCAGUUCUCACAUGCUUAGAGUUAAGGACACGCUUCAAUAUUUCCAGAACCAGGGCCUGCCUUCUCCCAGUGGGGAAUUGAGCUCUUCCAGAGGCUUUUGCCCCAGUGUGCUUGUGGAAAUCUGUCCCUUUAAGUCUUGCAGAGCUGAGCUGCUCCAGUCUCCCUGUAGCCAUUUUGCGAGUGCUGACUGCUGGGUGCCUGUUCUGGUUAGUACCUGUCCUGCUUUUCCACAUGCCUCUCCUUCCACCUCGGCAGCUCACACGUGUGACGAUCCAAAAAGGCUCACCCAGAGGAUCCAGUUGAGAAUUAUGAAUAUGCAGUGGGAGUGGUGACACAUGAGGGAAAAGGAUGGGAGCUGUUACCUGGAAAUUCUUGACCUGUGUGCAUGCAAGGAAAGGAACUGACUGCCUUCAAAGAGAAGGACAGGAGGAGGAAGAGAAUGGAUAGUCUUGCUACUCCCAUUGCCUUUUAUCAGAACUGCAGUGUGUUUCCCAAGCAGAGAAAAGAGACAGCAAAUUGGUGAUUGUGAGAAAUCAAUUACUUUUACUUCAUGAUACAACUCCAAAAUAAUUUUGUGGAAAUAUAAUACUGGUGGAUUUGCUUUGGAGAGGAAAAAAUACUAUUUGAGAAGAAGGUUACUUGCCUGACCAGAAGAAUUAUUGAGGGAACCCCAUUUUAAAAGAGCUGGAUGCCUAAGCCUGAAUUAAUAAACUAGGAACUGCUGUUGAAAUAAUGCAAGGAAUUUCUGAAGGAAAGACAGAGGAGAUCUUGGCAAAACAAGAAGCUACGUCUGACAGAUUAUUUCAGUUUACAGAGGAACUAAACUGCAAAUUUCAAUAAAUGGUGGCUGGGACAGAAGAUCCAAACAAAUCUUUGCUGAGUGAAAAGUUGCAGCAGAAACUCAAAUAAAUGAUUGGAAAUCAGAGCAGCAAGGCAAUGGAAGUUCUCUAGUCUUGAAGCAAGGCUUGGCCAGAAAUUGGUAUUCAGAGGAGACCUCAGCCACAAAACCUGGAACAGCAGGGUGUCAGGCUUCAGGUGUUGUGUUGAUCAUAGGAUGAUUCACUUUCUUAGGAAAGAGGAAGAUUUGUGAAUUAAAUACUUCUUUGUAGAUACACACUUUUUCUCAUUUCCUUAUUUGAAAAGAAUGACAAAUUUUAGUCUGAAAAAAUUAAAAUAAUGUGAAGAAAAUGCUGUUCUUUUCCUGAAUUUUCUAGACAACACUGGAAAUCCCACACAUCCCUUCCCUUUUUUUUCCUGAAAUCUUUGUAUUCAUUCAUUUCCCUAAUGAUCCCACACUUUUUUUAUUUUUAUUUAUGAAUGUUAAGUAAGAACUCAUUGAUUUUUUUUAUUACAUCAAAAUACAAACAUGGUCGGAAUGAAGUAAUUUGUACCAGAGAUCACUUUAUGGUCACCACUUACAACAAAAUAUUAGAGACUACCAAUGGUUACUGUGGAGUGGUGAAAAUAAUUUAGUUUCAUAUGCAAAGUUGUUUUUUUUAUUUUUUUCCCCUCUGUCUUCCCAUCAUUGUAAAUAUAUGUACAAUUCCUCUUUUGGAUGGCAGCUUCUCAUCUUUUGAAUUUUCAAAUUUAAAGAACAAGAUAAAACAAAACAAAACAACAAUUUCUAAGAGUCAGGGGACAAAUACAACCGAGGGAGCCACCGAGUAGGGUGGGAAAUUUGUGAGUCAAGGGAAUUUGUGAGUCAGCAGAUCCAUCCUGAUGAGCACAGGAAUCCACUAUAAAUGAGGGGUGCUACAGAAGGUAUGGGAAGUAAUACCUCUUUCCUCUAUGGAUAAAGCCCCAUCUGGGAUCCUGUGUCCAGCUAAGUGCAGGUAACAGCUGGGGAAAUGCCCUUUGCCAACUGGCACAAACCCAGAGAUGAACUCCAAGAAUUAUUAGAGGUCCAGAAAACACAGCUUGUGAGACAAGAGCAAAGGAACUGGGUUUGUUUAGUCUAGGGAAGGGAAGAAUGUGCAGAGACAUGAUAGCAGCCACCAGGAGCAGAACAAGACAUGAUGUGUUUGAAAUGCCUCAACAGAAAGAGGGUGGGAAUUAGGGGGAAAAAAGCAGCUUUUUAAUGGCAAGAUAGUGAAGGGCUGGAUUAGCUUGCUCAGGGAAUUGUGGAGGCUUAAAGAACAAUUUAGACAAACAUUUGCCAGGUGAGUUAUGAGACUGAAGUUUGCUUAUAUGUAACCCUGCCCAGCGUAGAAAAAUGGACUGGGUGACUUUUAGAGUCUGUGGCAGCCUACCUUUUGGUGGAUUUUUUUUUUACCAUUGCUUAAAAUAACUUUGAAUUUAAAAAAAAUAAAUAAAAUGAAUGGGGCCUUAUCCUCUGUUUCGUACACACACAGUUUUCCUCCUUAUAUACACAUUCCUUAUCCUGACUGAUUAUUAUCCUGUCCGUUCAUUAUUCUGAGAAUUUUAUGUUC